UGUAGCUCAGUGGUAGAGUGCUUGCCUAGCAUGAGCAGGAACCUGGGUUCAAUUCCUAGCA
rnacentral:tRNA from 1 species